GCAUUUUUGACUUGGAGAAAUAGAUUAUAAAUCAGUGGGCUGCUCAUUUUAAAGACGGCCUUCUCCUAAAUGGCCUUCCUCUUUCCCAGAAGUUGGACAAUGAUUUUAGCUGAUGACUUAUUUAUUCGUCAUUUAAUAAUAACAGUCAUAGUUACCCUGAUUUGAAUGCCUAUAAUGUGCUAGGAUACUUUGUGUAAGAACUCCACAACAGCCCUCCAAGUUAUCCCCAUUCUGUGCUUUGAGAGGUGAAGGAACUUGCCGAAAACCAUAAGACUCCUAAGUGACAGAGCCAGGAUCCUGCCAGCUAUCUUGCUGCCCAGCAGGGACUCUGUUCAUCUUGCCACCAACCCCUGCGUUAUGUACAAGAAUAGAAUGAACAGUCAUUUCUAUAAAGUGCAACAAGCAGCUGUUCAUAAAAGUUUAGUAUUUGAACUGAGAAAACAACCACCACCAUAUUCAACCUUCAAGGGGCUUAUUAUUUCUACAGUCUCUUAUCACAUUAAAGAAUAACACCCUGGUUCUUUAUACACAUUUCUCGGUGCUUAACUUUAAAAAAUAUUGCAUGAUUCCUUUAUCAGAGAUUUUAAUGAAAUCAGGAAAUAAUAAGUAACCCAAUCGAAAUGUGUUCAUCCUAAAUUUGGCCUGGCUACAGAAAUUCAUUUUCACCUCAUUCCUCAUCCCCGCCUUUCCAAUGUCCUAAAGCACGAACCCAUUGGGUGUUCCCUCCGUUUCCCCAAGGAAAUAUUUCAUUCAUAUAAUGUCUCCUUUGUAAUCAACACUGAGAAAUGUCACUUUGAUUAAACACAACUCUGAAUGACUAAGACGACAGUACAAUAAAUUCUCCAGAGCUAUCUUUCAGAACAACGGAUUGCUCUUUAGUCUUAAUCCUCCAGAGUCUUAUUUAAUCAAAAUGAUGUUGCUAAUUAAGGAUUAAAACCUCCGAAUAGAAUAAAAAAGAAGGAUUUUUCUUUCUCCUUUGGGCAGGUCAAGGAGGCAGAAUUUGCUGUAAGGAAGUAAAAAGUCCCUUCCACCUUUGGUAAAACUGCAUUAUUCUCUGACGUUUGGACUUAAUCCAAAAUAGGCCUGAGUGCUUUGUAAUAUUAAUAUAGUCGGGGGAUGGGGGGAAGAAGGAAAGAAAGAAGGAAACAAAAGAAAGCAGAAAGAAAAACAGAAAGAAAAAGGAACUGUCUUAGAUAACUAUAUGUACCUAGAUAAUAUUUAUUCUAAAUUUUUUUCAUUUAAUGCUUUUAAUAUGAAUUUUCUUUAAACAUUUUGUCUGAUGCUGUCUGUGCAUUGCUUUUAUCCAUUGCUAACAUUGAUGGAAUGGCAGAAUAUUUUAGAAAAAUGAUACUAACCUAUUUCACAGAGAAGAGGAAGCAAAAGACAAUAUAUCUCCAGUAUAUUUGACAUCAACUGGUGAAUGCCAAUAAGAACAACAGAGUUCUCUACUAAAUGCUGAAAUACUCUAUCUUGAGAUCAAAAUCUCAAUUUCUCCUUGAAUUUGCAUUUGAUAAUAAAAAUUGGUUCCUUGAAAACACAUAAAACUGUAUAAGAACUCACUAAGAGAGACAAAGCUGUAUAGAAAUGUAGUUUGAUUUCCAUGGAAUACAAAUUCUUUCAGGUGCUGGGGGUGAAGUGGAUGUUAAAUAGAGAUGCUGGUUGAUGUUUUAACGAAUUGUAAAAUACUUCUUCCAUCCUUUUCAUCUUUCUGAAUUUAUAAUCUCUGCCGUGUUAGUCUAUUACAAUGUAGACAUAACUAAUAAUAUCUACUGUUUAUUGAUUACCACUAUGUGCCACAUUCUCUGCCAGUAAUACACAUAUUAUUACCUCUAAUAAAACCCAGGAAGAGGUAUUAUUAUAACCCUUCAGAAAUGGUUAAACUCAAAGAAGAAAUGACUUGACCAAGGUCAGGCAGCUGUGUGAAGUAGAAUUGAGAUUUCCACCAAGGCCUGUUUGGCUCCAAAGCCACAUUCUAUUCACUAUGACAUGCCAUCUCACACUUGUUUACUUGAAGGAUAAAGUCAUCAGUGUGUUUCAAGAAGGUGCUGGUAAACUGUGUUGGCCUAUACCUGACUCAUAGGCUCCCAGAAUACUGGCUGAAUCAUUGUCAAAGGUAUUGUCCCAUUGUCACCCAGCCCAAUCAAUGACAAAGGCUGAACAACCAUCAUCAAAACGGGACCAGAGAGCAAGCAAUGAGAAAUGCCCAAAGGGGGAGGAAUGUCUGUUCCCGAGAAUGCCUGUUUUCUCUCUUAGCCAGUGCUACUUACCAGUUAAAAAAGGACAUUUGUUUCUGGAAUGCAUACUCCUGAAGGCUGUAAGCACCCAGUGGACAGACAAUGGUCCUUAUUCCUCCUGUGCCGAGGCAGAUGGCCACCAGUGCUACGUGAAACAGCCUGGUCUGUUCCUUUUUUGUGGCGUGGAGCCUCCUUUGCCACACACAUAGGUGAGAAGGCUGGGGAUGGGUGUGAGACAUACAUCAGCAAGCCAUCCUGCAAACACCGGGGUAAGGAUUGACGUUCCAAUAAAACACAAGUUCAAAAUGGCGGCUUGGUAAUUGUGAUAGCCAAGCUUGACGGUGCAAAAGGGGAUCAUAUUGCGGACGACUUCAAAGAAAGUGAACCUCUCACACAGCUCCACCAGAAGCAAACAGAUUCCAACUUGCAAUUUUUUCAGAGUAUGAGGAAGACAAAUAACCAAUAUGUCUUAUAGUUUUCUCCUUCUCAAUGCUGUGAUUUAAGGGUACUUCCUCAUCGGUGUUUUUAAAGCCUGUAACAGACAUGACUACCCUCCUUGAAGACUACUUAUGCUAGUGGUUUGAACUUGGUGAUUUUUCCCCCACUCCUCUAAUGAAAAAAUAAAUAAGAUCUUUGCUUUGAA